rnacentral:rRNA from 1 species
CGGUGACAGGUGGUGCAUGGUUGUCGUCAGCUCGUGUCGUGAGAUGUGGGUUAAGUCCCGCAACGAGCGCAACCCCUAUUGUUAGUUGCCAUCAUUCGGUUGGGCACUCUAGCGAGACUGCCGGUAAUAAACCGGAGGAAGGUGGGAUGACGUCAAAUCAUCAUGCCCCUUAUGACCUGGGCUACACACGUGCUACAAUGGUUGGUACAACGAGUUGCGAGUCGGUGACGGCGAGCUAAUCUCUUAAAGCUAAUCUCAGUUCGGAUUGUAGGCUGCAACUCGCCUACAUGAAGUCGGAAUCGCUAGUAAUCGCGGAUCAGCACGCCGCGGUGAAUACGUUCCCGGGCCUU